GAUGAACGCUGGCGGCGUGCCUAAGACAUGCAAGUCGAGUGGGUUUAGACCCACGGCGAACGGGUGAGUAAUACAUAGGAAUUUUCUGUAAGUUGAGGAUAUCCUCUCGAAAGGGAGUGCAAUACUCAAUGUGAUCGCAAGAUUAAAGUCGCAAGACGCUUACGGUGAAGCCUGUGCACCAUCAGCUAGUUGGUAAGGUAAAAGCUUACCAAGGCUAUGACGGUUACCGGGCCCGAGAGGGUGAUCCGGCACACUGGGACUGCGACACGGCCCAGACUCCUACGGGAGGCAGCAGUUUGGAAUUUUGGUCAAUGGGGGAAACCCUGAACCAGCGACGCCGCGUGGACGAUGAAGGCCUUCGGUC
rnacentral:rRNA from 1 species